rnacentral:rRNA from 1 species
GACGAACGCUGGCGGCGUGCUUAACACAUGCAAGUCGAACGGAAAGGCCCCUUUGGGGGUACUCGCGUGGCGAACGGGGGAGUAACACGUGAGUAACCUGCCCUUGACUUCGGGAAAACUACAGGAAACUGGGGCUAAUACCGGAGAGGAAUCCUUGGUGCAUGGGGGGGGCUGGAAAGCUUGGGCGGUUUUGGAUGGACUCGCGGCUUAUCAGCUUGUUGGUGGGGGAGUGGCUUACCAAGGCCUUGACGGGUAGCCGGCCUGAGAGGGCGACCGGCCACAUUGGGGCUGAGAUGCGGCCCAGACUCCUACGGGAGGCAGCAGUGGGGAAUAUUGCACGAUGGGCGGAAGCCUGAUGCAGCAACGCUGCGGGCGGGAUGACGGCCUUCGGGUUGUAAACCGGUUUCAGCAGGGGCGAAGCUUGUGGUGACGGUACCUGCAGAAGAAGCACCGGCUAACUACGUG